AUUGAACGCUGGCGGCAGGCCUAACACAUGCAAGUCGAGCGGUAGCACAGAGAGCUUGCUCUCGGGUGACGAGCGGCGGACGGGUGAGUAAUGUCUGGGAAACUGCCUGAUGGCGGGGGAUAACUACUGGAAACGGUAGCUAAUACCGCAUAACGUCGCAAGACCACAGUGGGAGACCUUCGGGCCUCAUGCCAUCAGAUGUGCCCAGAUGGGAUUAGCUAGUAGGUGGGGUAACGGCUCACCUAGGCGACGAUCCCUAGCUGGUCUGAGAGGAUGACCAGCCACACUGGAACUGAGACACGGUCCAGACUCCUACGGGAGGCAGCAGUGGGGAAUAUUGCACAAUGGGCGCAAGCCUGAUGCAGCCAUGCCGCGUGUGUGAAGAAGGCCUUCGGGUUGUAAAGCACUUUCAGCGGGGAGGAAGGCGGUGAGGUUAAUAACCUCAUCGAUUGACGUUACCCGCAGAAGAAGCACCGGCUAACUCCGUGCCAGCCGCCGCAGUAA
rnacentral:rRNA from 1 species